rnacentral:rRNA from 1 species
UACGGAGGGAGCUAGCGUUGUUCGGAUUUACUGGGCGUAAAGAGCGCGUAGGUUGUUAUACAAGUUAGGAGUGAAAUCCGAGAGCUCAACUCUCGAACUGCUUCUAAAACUGUAUAGCUAGAGUAUGGUAAGGGGUAAUAGAAUUCCUAGUGUAGAGGUGAAAUUCUUAGAUAUUAGGAGGAAUACCGAUGGCGAAAGCAGUUACCUAGGCCACUACUGACGCUGAGGCGCGAAAGCGUGGGGAGCAAACAGG